ACUAAGCGUACACGGUGGAUGCCCUGGCAGUCAGAGGCGAUGAAGGACGUGCUAAUCUGCGAUAAGCGUCGGUAAGGUGAUAUGAACCGUUAUAACCGGCGAUUUCCGAAUGGGGAAACCCAGUGUGAUUCGUCACACUAUCAUUAACUGAAUCCAUAGGUUAAUGAGGCGAACCGGGGGAACUGAAACAUCUAAGUACCCCGAGGAAAAGAAAUCAACCGAGAUUCCCCCAGUAGCGGCGAGCGAACGGGGAGGAGCCCAGAGCCUGAAUCAGUGUGUGUGUUAGUGGAAGCGUCUGGAAAGGCGCGCGAUACAGGGUGACAGCCCCGUACACAAAAAUGCACAUAUUGUGAGCUCGAUGAGUAGGGCGGGACACGUGGUAUCCUGUCUGAAUAUGGGGGGACCAUCCUCCAAGGCUAAAUACUCCUGACUGACCGAUAGUGAACCAGUACCGUGAGGGAAAGGCGAAAAGAACCCCGGCGAGGGGAGUGAAAAAGAACCUGAAACCGUGUACGUACAAGCAGUGGGAGCACGCUUAGGCGUGUGACUGCGUACCUUUUGUAUAAUGGGUCAGCGACUUAUAUUCUGUAGCAAGGUUAACCGAAUAGGGGAGCCGAAGGGAAACCGAGUCUUAACUGGGCGUUAAGUUGCAGGGUAUAGACCCGAAACCCGGUGAUCUAGCCAUGGGCAGGUUGAAGGUUGGGUAACACUAACUGGAGGACCGAACCGACUAAUGUUGAAAAAUUAGCGGAUGACUUGUGGCUGGGGGUGAAAGGCCAAUCAAACCGGGAGAUAGCUGGUUCUCCCCGAAAGCUAUUUAGGUAGCGCCUCGUGAAUUCAUCUCCGGGGGUAGAGCACUGUUUCGGCAAGGGGGUCAUCCCGACUUACCAACCCGAUGCAAACUGCGAAUACCGGAGAAUGUUAUCACGGGAGACACACGGCGGGUGCUAACGUCCGUCGUGAAGAGGGAAACAACCCAGACCGCCAGCUAAGGUCCCAAAGUCAUGGUUAAGUGGGAAACGAUGUGGGAAGGCCCAGACAGCCAGGAUGUUGGCUUAGAAGCAGCCAUCAUUUAAAGAAAGCGUAAUAGCUCACUGGUCGAGUCGGCCUGCGCGGAAGAUGUAACGGGGCUAAACCAUGCACCGAAGCUGCGGCAGCGACGCUUAUGCGUUGUUGGGUAGGGGAGCGUUCUGUAAGCCUGCGAAGGUGUGCUGUGAGGCAUGCUGGAGGUAUCAGAAGUGCGAAUGCUGACAUAAGUAACGAUAAAGCGGGUGAAAAGCCCGCUCGCCGGAAGACCAAGGGUUCCUGUCCAACGUUAAUCGGGGCAGGGUGAGUCGACCCCUAAGGCGAGGCCGAAAGGCGUAGUCGAUGGGAAACAGGUUAAUAUUCCUGUACUUGGUGUUACUGCGAAGGGGGGACGGAGAAGGCUAUGUUGGCCGGGCGACGGUUGUCCCGGUUUAAGCGUGUAGGCUGGUUUUCCAGGCAAAUCCGGAAAAUCAAGGCUGAGGCGUGAUGACGAGGCACUACGGUGCUGAAGCAACAAAUGCCCUGCUUCCAGGAAAAGCCUCUAAGCAUCAGGUAACAUCAAAUCGUACCCCAAACCGACACAGGUGGUCAGGUAGAGAAUACCAAGGCGCUUGAGAGAACUCGGGUGAAGGAACUAGGCAAAAUGGUGCCGUAACUUCGGGAGAAGGCACGCUGAUAUGUAGGUGAAGUCCCUUGCGGAUGGAGCUGAAAUCAGUCGAAGAUACCAGCUGGCUGCAACUGUUUAUUAAAAACACAGCACUGUGCAAACACGAAAGUGGACGUAUACGGUGUGACGCCUGCCCGGUGCCGGAAGGUUAAUUGAUGGGGUCAGCGCAAGCGAAGCUCUUGAUCGAAGCCCCGGUAAACGGCGGCCGUAACUAUAACGGUCCUAAGGUAGCGAAAUUCCUUGUCGGGUAAGUUCCGACCUGCACGAAUGGCGUAAUGAUGGCCAGGCUGUCUCCACCCGAGACUCAGUGAAAUUGAACUCGCUGUGAAGAUGCAGUGUACCCGCGGCAAGACGGAAAGACCCCGUGAACCUUUACUAUAGCUUGACACUGAACAUUGAGCCUUGAUGUGUAGGAUAGGUGGGAGGCUUUGAAGUGUGGACGCCAGUCUGCAUGGAGCCGACCUUGAAAUACCACCCUUUAAUGUUUGAUGUUCUAACGUUGACCCGUAAUCCGGGUUGCGGACAGUGUCUGGUGGGUAGUUUGACUGGGGCGGUCUCCUCCUAAAGAGUAACGGAGGAGCACGAAGGUUGGCUAAUCCUGGUCGGACAUCAGGAGGUUAGUGCAAUGGCAUAAGCCAGCUUGACUGCGAGCGUGACGGCGCGAGCAGGUGCGAAAGCAGGUCAUAGUGAUCCGGUGGUUCUGAAUGGAAGGGCCAUCGCUCAACGGAUAAAAGGUACUCCGGGGAUAACAGGCUGAUACCGCCCAAGAGUUCAUAUCGACGGCGGUGUUUGGCACCUCGAUGUCGGCUCAUCACAUCCUGGGGCUGAAGUAGGUCCCAAGGGUAUGGCUGUUCGCCAUUUAAAGUGGUACGCGAGCUGGGUUUAGAACGUCGUGAGACAGUUCGGUCCCUAUCUGCCGUGGGCGCUGGAGAACUGAGGGGGGCUGCUCCUAGUACGAGAGGACCGGAGUGGACGCAUCACUGGUGUUCGGGUUGUCAUGCCAAUGGCACUGCCCGGUAGCUAAAUGCGGAAGAGAUAAGUGCUGAAAGCAUCUAAGCACGAAACUUGCCCCGAGAUGAGUUCUCCCUGACUCCUUGAGAGUCCUGAAGGAACGUUGAAGACGACGACGUUGAUAGGCCGGGUGUGUAAGCGCAGCGAUGCGUUGAGCUAACCGGUACUAAUGAACCGUGAGGCUUAACC
rnacentral:rRNA from 1 species